AUGGUAGUUCUAUAUUUAGUUUUUAAAGGAAUCUCCAUACUGUUCUCCAUGGUGGCUGCGCCACUGUCCAUUCCCUCCAACAGUGUAGGAGGGUUCCCUUUUCCCCACAGCUUCUCCAGCAUUUAUUGUUUGUAGACUUUCUGUCCAUGACCAUUCUGACUGGUGUGAGGUGAUACCUCAUUAUAGUUUUGAUUUGCAUUUCUCUAAUAAUGAGUGAUUUGAGCAUCUUUUCAUGUGUGUUUUGGCCAUCUGCCUGUCUUUGGAAAAAUGUCUAUUUAGAUAUUCUGCCCAUUUUUUGAAUUUUUUUACAUAUAUAAAUCUAUAUGAGAUGUUUGUAUAGUUUGGAGAUUAGUCCUUGUCAGUCACUUCAUUUGCAAAUAUUUUCUCCCAUUCUGUGGAUUGUCUUUUCGUUUUACUGAUAUUUCCUUUGCUGUUCAAAAGCUUUUAAGUUUAAUUAGGUCUCAUUUGUUUAUUUUUGCUGUUAUUUUUUUUUUUAGUUUUUUUAUGUAAUUGGUUUUUAAUCUGUUAAGUCAUUCUUUUUUUUUUUUUUUUUUUUUUUUUUUUAUUUGUUUUUUUUUUUUUUUUUGUCUUUUUAACUAUUUCUUGGGCCGCUCCUGCAGCAUAUGGAGGUUCCCAGGCUAGGGGUCAAAUCAGAGCUGUAGCCACCAGCCUACGCCAGCGCCACAGCAACACGGGAUCUGAGUCAUGUCUGCAACCUAUACCACAGCUCACGGCAACGCUGGAUCGUCAACCCACUGAGCAAGGGAAGGGACCGAACCCGCAACCUCAUGGUUCCUAGUCGGAUUUGUUAACCACUGCGCCACGACGGGAACUCCUAUUUUUGCUGUUAUUUUUAUUAUUCUCAGAAGGGAUCAAAAAUAAUAUUGCCGUGAUUGAUCUCAGAGUGUUCUGCCUGUAGGAGAACUGCACGAGUUUUACAGUAUCGACGUUCCUACCAAGAUGUCUUUAAUCCACUUUGCGUUUACUUUUGAGUGUGGUGUAAGAGACUGUUCUAAUUUCAUUCUUUACAUGUAGCUGUCCAGUGUUCCCUUCUGCGCGGUGUAUUUUUGCCUCCUUUGUUGUAGAUUAGUUCACGGUAGGUGUGCGGGUUUAUUUCUGUUGCGUUUCAACCUAUUUGCCCGUUUAUGGUUUUCACAGCCCAUACAUCCUUCUAGGCUCAUUGCCCAACUCCCUGCAGGGCAGUUUCUACAUUGUUCCGUGGAUUUAGAGAAUUCCACCUCUCUCAAAAUUCUUCUAUACUCCUAAUUGUAGUUGUUAUAAACAUUCUAAGUUCGCCACUUACCUUAGUAGCACAAAAGCCCUGAGCCUUUUCCUCAUAUGUUGCUCCAUCUUUUUUAGAUAUUUCAUGCUUCUACUUCCUUUAAGACCAGCCGUCAUUGGAUUCUGUGUGUCAGCUCUCACUUGAUUUUCAUGGAUCCUUUUCAGUCAGUCUUUAGUUUUGUGUAAUGCUUCUGCUAUUCCAUAUAUUCCCCUCAAACCCUGGGUCUUCUAGCCUAGGAUCUCUUUUUCUUCCUGAAACAAAUAUAAUAUGUACCCCCUAAUAAAACUUUAAAAAAAUAAAAGCUUUUUUUUUUUGGCUGCACCAUGGUGCACAGAAGUCCCCAGGCCUGGGAUCAAACCUGAGGCACAGCAGUGACAAUGCUGAAUCCUUAACCACUAGGCCACCAGGGAACUCCUUAAAAUGAAAAGUUUUAAGUAACAUGUUAAUAAAUCGGAAACUGUAUCCUUAGCCGGGAUCUCUUUGAUAAGACCCGGCUUAAGUAUGUUCAAGGCCUUUCCAUUCGGAUUAAUGAGAGCCACCAGAGCGUCCGUUUUCACAACCGAACGCGUUCCGACCAAACUCUGCUGCUGUUCCUUACCGCAGUAUACACCACACCCUGACCCGUCUGACUGAGCGUCCCAUCGUCUUGAGAAUAACCCACAUCCUCUCUCAAGUACGGGGCGCUACGUCAUCAUAUUCUGCUCGGUCGUCACAGUUGAGUGCUUCCGCCCUCAUCCCCGCCGCCGCCGCCCUCCGCCCAGGGUGCCAGCAGCCUCUCCUCACUGACCUGCCUGCUGCCAAGCAGGCUGCAGAGGGCGGGCGCCCGGCGCACUGCACCCCCCCGAUCUUCUAGAACCUUAGGCUUUUCCGUGGCUCCUGCUGCCUAACAGAGAUGAAGUGGGGUACAGAUCUCUUGAUAAUCGGCAUAUCACUUUAGUGACCAGCAUUUGACAAUUCUGUCUUACUUUCCUUCCGGAGUUCCUUCCCGGUGGCCUGGCAGCCCUACCUGGCACCGUUUGGCUGACCUGGACCAGCAGCUGCCCAGGUUUCACUGAGCGUGCACGUCACUGAAUAAGUAAUUUCUGAUUUAAAUAUUAAAACCAAACUCUGAUUUGUAACAUGAAGUCCUUCGUAGUAUUGAUGCUUCCUAACUUGAGUCACGACUACCCCAGUUUCGUGUUUUCCUCUAUCUCUAGCCAAAAAGUAACUUUUUGUGUAAACAUGCCAUAAUGUUGGAUACCUUUAGGCCUUCAGACUUGGUAUCUCUUCUGCCUAGAAGGCCCUUCCCACUUGUCUCUAUCUAGUUAAUUACUACUCAGUUUUAAAAAUUCGAGUCCAGUCAUUUUUUUCUGGAAAGCGUUCCCACACGUGGCCCAUUGCAUGCAAAGACGUUGCCUCUGUCUCCCUGCAGAAGCUCGCACACACUUGUUCAUAGCGUGAGGCACAGACCCCGCGUCACCAUUGGUGACAGGCUUACCUGUCCUCCNUUUUUUUUUUUUUUUUUUUUUUUUUUGCUUUUUAGGGCUGCAUCCAAGGCAUUAGGAGGUUCCCAGGCUAGGGUUAAAUCUGAGCCACAGCUGUCGGCCUAUACCACAGGCACAGCAAUGCGGGAUCUGAGCCACCUCUGUGACCUACACCACAGCUCACGGCAAUGCCGGAUCCUUAACCCACUGAGCGAGGCCGGGGAUGGAACCCAGAUCCUCAUGGAUCCUAGUCAGGGUCGUUAACUGCGGAGCCAUGGAGGGAACGCCCUAGAGUCUUUUCUUGAGCAGGAGCAGGAGAGGAGCACAAAGGCUGAGCCUCAUUCGUGAUUACGUAUCAAGCGCUGCAUUUGCUCGGCUCCUUCCACGUGGUUAAUGCUCAGUACCUUGCUCAAAUGAAUGAGUUUUCAUUGACUUAGGAAUUCCAGAAGUUUAACAGCAAAGAUGGGGAAAGCGCAGAUAAAGCAGAAGAUAACAGAGAGAAGAGAGGAACAGAGUUGGAGGAGAGGCAGUGGGAGAAAGACGGAGGGCAAAGGGGCGAAGCCAGGACGUGGUCGUGGGCGCACCGUGCGCUCUGUUCGCUCUAGUUUCUCUGCAGCGGUUUAAGGGCCAAGUAAUUCUUGCCAGAAGACUCGAGCUUGAGUCCGUCUACGCCACCGCCUGGUCCUCGCCCUCCUCCCAGUCUCUGCUUUUGAGGAAGAAGGACUCCCUGGUCCAAGGACAGUCGUUCCAUGAUGCUGGCUGAGGAAGGCUUGUUGGCGUCAGGGGCUAGGGGACUGUGCUUCAUGAGGCAAGAUCAAAAUCAAUUCUGAAAUUUCCUUCUUCUAUUUUUGAUCCGGCGACUUCUGUUUUAACAUUGCAACCAAAAUUGCUCCCCUGGGGUGCUUCCUUUGAUGAAGACAACCAACAAACAGCAAAGUAUUCUUUGUCUGCAGUGACCGAACCAAAUAAUAAUACAGCCGGACCUGUCUGAGCUCCUGGAAAAGGACGGGUCGGGUGUGGCAGAGAAAACCUCGGAUGCUGGCACAGGGACUCCAUGCAAAUCGUUCUCCUAAAUCCUCUUAUGUGACUGUCUCAUGAAGUAUGUUCACAGGCGCCCUCUAGAGUCUCAUCCUAUUGGUACCAUCGCUUUUAUUUUAGAUCGACAGGUGCCUGCAUCCCAUCCUCUCUCAGAGGUGGACACUGUGGUGGUUCCCCUCAGCCGCUACCAUCUGGGAGGCCGGCUGCAGUUGAAUUGUCUCUAUUUUAAGAGCCACCUCCGUGUCACAGGGCUGCGAGCCCCCACCCCACCCUCCUGUGAGGGGCCGGAUGGUCCGGUCUGGUCACAUCUGGGGAACGUGCUGCAUUAAGAGCUCUCUGUGUUGCAUGAUUAUCCACAGAAUUCGCCACGUAGCCUCGUGCGAUCCAAGAAACAGCAGUCCUGGCUGCAGGCCCGGCCGAAGCCGUCCCUUCAUCAGCUCUGCUUCGUUCAGGGGCUGGUCCGGGGCCUUCCUCUGAGUGCCCCUGCCGCAGCAGACUCAGUAUCUGAAAGCUCGCACGUUCGGGGACUCAGCAAAGGCCACUUUCCCCAGGUCAUCACGCAGGAGUCCCGGCGCUUCCCUGUCCCGAGACAAGGACAGCAUUGACCCCUGCGGUCCUUUGUGACCUGGGAGUGAAGGACGCAGGUCGCUGAGCUGAGCGCACAGGCUCAGGGAGACAGCGCAACAGCAGCCACUUUGCAGGCAGCCGCUCUGGUCCAAAGUGCCAGGACACAGCCAGCGAAAAGAGAAGCAGGUCCCCCACCCCCACAGGCGGAGGAAUAAGGAGCGGCUUGGACUUUGGGGCCUUUUGCAGAAAAGCUCCAGCAGCUUCCUGCUGCAGAACUCGCUGCCCUCAGGCCCAGACUUUGAACAGCAGGGACUGCCUGAAGCCCCUCCAGUGCUGGGCUCAGGGAGGCACAGAUGUCCCCCGGGUUAGGCCCUAAGCUCAGAAGAGAGCCCUGGGAGAAGACCAGGCUGGGCACAGGCCAGUUUGUGUCUUCAGUCUGCAGGUUUAAUUUGAUACAGAGACAUCUAUGGACACUUAGAGAUGACAGGGUGGGGACAGCGUGUUUCCUCGGGUCCCCAAGCGCAGUGAAGAAAACCAGCCCAUUCAAACACAAUACCAGAGAGAGGCACUUGCUUAUAAACAAGACAGGCCUUGUGUGGAUGUUGCUUAAACAAUUUCCAUUCUGUGAAAAUGUUCUCCACUGACACAAAAGGACAAAUGCCCCCAAUCGCCAGGCCCGCAUCUCUACAGAAUCCAGGAUUCUGUUGCUGGAGGCAGAGGGGCCUGCCCAUCUCACACGCCAUGAGAGGGACCAGGGAGAAAAGCAGGGGCGAGUGUCAUCCCCAUCAAAAUCCUGGCUGGGUGUUUUCAUGUGUUGAUUUCUAAUUUUAUGUAAAAAUGCAGAAGAUGUAGAAAAGCCAGAACAGUUUUGAAAAAGAAGUUGGAAGAUGUACACAACUUGACUUCAAGAUACAAUUUGAGAUGGAUCACAGACCUCAGGGGAAAGUCAUAACCAAAAACCUUGCAAGAGGAAACAGCAGAAUAUCUUCACAGCCUUGGGACAGAAGAGAAUUCUUGGACAGAACACAAAAAGCACGAACCGUAAAAGGAAAAUUAUUCAGUUAGGCUUGAUCGAAAUUGGAGCUGUCCACCAAUCCAAACACCACUUAAAAGCUAAAAGAUAAAGCCACCAGCCAAGGCGGAGAGAAAAUAUUUGCAAAACACUUAGCUAACAAAGAACUUGCACAGACUAUAAAAAGAAUCCCCAGACAUCAACAAAAAGCCCAAUUUUUAAAAAUAGGCAAAAGCCUUGAACAGAUACUUCAGAAAAGAACCUCAGCACUUUACUGAUCAACUCGUGAAGAAGUGCUCAGUAUCUUCGAGCAACAGAGAAAAAUGCACGUUGAAAUCGCAGAGAUGUCAUUUCACAAAAAUGGUAACACUAAUGAACAGAACACAGUGGCUACAGUAAAAGUCUCGUCAUACCAAACACUGACGAGGCUGUAACUCAGCUGCAACCCCGUGCGUGGCUGCUGCGCGUCUAAAAUGUACCGGCCACUUUGAAGGUAUGUCUGGCACCUGAUUAAAUUUACGUCUUACCCUUUGACCAAACAGUUCCACUCAGGCAUUUAUCCAAGAGAAAGCGCGUUCACAAAAGAUUCAAACGUUAGCAGCCCAGUUCAUAAUAGCCCCCAGUGGGAACCAACCUAAAUGUCUAUAAACAGUGAUGCGGCUAAACAAAUGAUUGCAUGUUCCCACAGGAGAAUAUUUCUCACAACAUAGAAGAGAACAAACCACCGGUACAUGCAAUACCAUGGACACAUCUCAAAGACGGAAGCCAGACAGAGAAGAGAAUCUACAACGUAAUUCCACUUGAAAUCCAGACCAAACUAAUCUAUGGUGAUAGAAAUAAAAAGGUGGCCAGCUGGGGAGAUGGCAGGGAGACUCCCCGGAAAGUAACCCCAAGGAACUUUCUGGGGUGCUAAGAAAUGUUUGCUGUCUUUUCCCAGAUGGUAUUUACACAGGCCUAUACAAUUAUCAGACUCAUCAAACUGAACACCUAAAGUCUCUGCUACUGUAUGUUUAUUACACCUAAAUUAACCGGGAACCACCAAAGCGGCAACAAGUGGCCCCCCUCACUGUUAAAGAGGGGCUUUUUCUUCAUCACAGGGGAGGCUGGACUGGGUGGUCCUUGGGUUUCCUCCAGAGUCUCUGAAACCAGAACUGAACAUAAACUCUUGAGCUGCUGGCACUGUGGUAGGAUUGACUCUGGGAACUUCUGGGAGUUAAGGGCUUGCUCCGUGUCAAAAAGAGCUGGGUCACCAUCUCGUGGGCUGCCUCAGUCUCCCCCUUUUCCCACUCUAAACCCGUGGACAUGUUUUCUCAUUUCCUUCUGACACCCUCCACCUUACCGACCAGGAAUCCGGCUCUGGAAGGCUGGGCAGCACGCUCGGCCUCGGCCCCACGUCCAGACGUCCCGUCCCCUGCUUUUAAUUGGAGCCACACCAGCACCGGGAAUGCCCUCCCCUUGCAGUGUCUCCCAAACCCAGCCUCCAGUGCGUGCCUCCAACGAGCAAAGCCUAAGCCACAUCUGAAUCUCUGGCCGAAGUUUAUUUGGGACAGUGGGCAUUUUCAAUAUUCAGCAGUUUUUCACUUUCCAGCCUCUGCCACCUAGGAUGUCAU
rnacentral:lncRNA from 1 species